GGAGUCAGCCUGCCCAGUGACCAAGUUAAACGGCCGCGGUACCCUAACCGUGCGAAGGUAGCGCAAUCACUUGUUCUUUAAAUGAGGACUAGUAUGAAUGGCAUCACGAGGGUUACACUGUCUCCCACCUCUAAUCAGUGAAACUGAUCUCCCCGUGAAGAAGCGGGGAUAAAACUAUAAGACGAGAAGACCCCAUGGAGCUUCAAACCCGGCAUCAACCAUUAACAUUAAUACCACAUUAAAUAAAUGGACCUGACUGCUGGUUUUAGGUUGGGGUGACCGCGGAGCAUAACAAAACCUCCAUGAUGAACGACCUCCUCUCUAAUCCGAGAGCCACCACUCAAAGAAUCAAAAAAUUGACAUUUAUUGACCCAAACUAUUUUGAUCAACGAACCAAGUUACCCUGGGGAUAACAGCGCAAUCCAUUUCAAGAGCCCCUAUCGHCAAAUGGGUUUACGACCUCGAUGUUGGAUCAGGGUAUCCUAGUGGUGCAGCCGCUACUAAAGGUUCGUUUGUUCAACGAUUAAAACCCUACGUGAUCUGA
rnacentral:rRNA from 1 species